rnacentral:rRNA from 1 species
GAAGCUUCAGGCCUAACACAUGCAAGUCGAACGAAGGCUUCGGCCUUUGUGGCGCACGGGUGCGGAACGCGGGGGAAUCUGCCCUUGGGUUCGGAAUAACAGCGGGAAAUUGCUGCUAAUACCGGAUAAUGUCGCAAGACCAAAGAUUUAUUGCCCAAGGAUGAGCCCGCGUUGGAUUAGCUAGUUGGUGGGGUAAAAGCCUACCAAGGCGACGAUCCAUAGCUGGUCUGAGAGGAUGAUCAGCCACACUGGGACUGAGACACGGCCCAGACUCCUACGGGAGGCAGCAGUGGGGAAUAUUGGACAAUGGGCGAAAGCCUGAUCCAGCAAUGCCGCGUGAGUGAUGAAGGCCUUAGGGUUGUAAAGCUCUUUUACCCGGGAUGAUAAUGACCGUACCGGGAGAAUAAGCUCCGGCUAACUCCGUGCCAGCAGCCGCGGUAAUACGGAGGGAGCUAGCGUUGUUCGGAAUUACUGGGCGUAAAGCGCACGUAGGCGGCCUUGUAAGUCAGAGGUGAAAGCCUGGAGCUCAACUCCAGAACUGCCUUUGAGACUGCAUCGCUUGAAUCCAGGAGAGGUGAGUGGAAUUCCGAGUGUAGAGGU